rnacentral:rRNA from 1 species
GGGUGAGUAACACGUGGGCAACCUGCCUGUAAGACUGGGAUAACUUCGGGAAACCGGAGCUAAUACCGGAUAAUCCUUUUCCUCUCAUGAGGGAAAGCUGAAAGACGGUUUCGGCUGUCACUUACAGAUGGGCCCGCGGCGCAUUAGCUAGUUGGUGAGGUAACGGCUCACCAAGGCGACGAUGCGUAGCCGACCUGAGAGGGUGAUCGGCCACACUGGGACUGAGACACGGCCCAGACUCCUACGGGAGGCAGCAGUAGGGAAUCUUCCGCAAUGGACGAAAGUCUGACGGAGCAACGCCGCGUGAACGAUGAAGGCCUUCGGGUCGUAAAGUUCUGUUGUUAGGGAAGAACAAGUACCGGAGUAACUGCCGGUACCUUGACGGUACCUAACCAGAAAGCCACGGCUAACUACGUGCCAGCAGCCGCGGUAAUACGUAGGUGGCAAGCGUUGUCCGGAAUUAUUGGGCGUAAAGCGCGCGCA